rnacentral:rRNA from 1 species
UACGUAGGGGGCAAGCGUUGUCCGGAUUUAUUGGGCGUAAAGAGCGUGUAGGCGGCCAUGCAGGUCAGCUGUGAAAACUCGAGGCUCAACCUCGAGACGUCGGUUGAAACCGUAUGGCUAGAGUCCUGGAGAGGGUCGUGGAAUUCCCGGUGUAGCGGUGAAAUGCGUAGGGAUCGGGAGGAACACCAGAGGCGAAGGCGGCGACCUGGACAGGCACUGACACUCAACUACGAAAGCGUGGGGAGCAAACAGG